UGCUAAUACCGGAUAACAACAGAUGAUGCCUAUCAACUGUUUAAAAGAUGGUUCUGCUAUCACUCUUGGAUGGACCUGCGGUGCAUUAGCUAGUUGGUAGGGUAACGGCCUACCAAGGCGAUGAUGCAUAGCCGAGUUGAGAGACUGAUCGGCCACAUUGGGACUGAGACACGGCCCAAACUCCUACGGGAGGCAGCAGGU
rnacentral:rRNA from 1 species